rnacentral:rRNA from 1 species
GACGAACGCUGGCGGCGUGCUUAACACAUGCAAGUCGAACGGAAAGGCCCUGCUUGCAGGGUACUCGAGUGGCGAACGGGUGAGUAACACGUGGGUGAUCUGCCCUGCACUUCGGGAUAAGCCUGGGAAACUGGGUCUAAUACCGGAUAGGAGCCAUUUUUAGUGUGAUGGUUGGAAAGUUUUUUCGGUGUAGGAUGAGCUCGCGGCCUAUCAGCUUGUUGGUGGGGUAAUGGCCUACCAAGGCGGCGACGGGUAGCCGGCCUGAGAGGGUGGACGGCCACAUUGGGACUGAGAUACGGCCCAGACUCCUACGGGAGGCAGCAGUGGGGAAUAUUGCACAAGGGGCGCAAGCCUGAUGCAGCGACGCCGCGUGGGGGAUGACGGCCUUCGGGUUGUAAACUCCUUUCGCUAGGGACGAAGCUUUUUGUGACAGUACCUAGAUAAGAAGCACCGGCUAACUACGUG